GACGAACGCUGGCGGCGUGCUUAACACAUGCAAGUCGAACGAAGAGCGAUGGACGCUUGCUUCUAUCAAUCUUAGUGGCGAACGGGUGAGUAACGCGUAAUCAACCUGCCCUUCAGAGGGGGACAACAGUUGGAAACGACUGCUAAUACCGCAUACGAUCUAACCUCGGCAUCGAGGAAAGAUGAAAGGUGGCCUCUAUGUAUAAGCUAUCACUGAAGGAGGGGAUUGCGUCUGAUUAGCUAGUUGGAGGGGUAACGGCCCACCAAGGCGAUGAUCAGUAGCCGGUCUGAGAGGAUGAACGGCCACAUUGGGACUGAGACACGGCCCAGACUCCUACGGGAGGCAGCAGUGGGGAAUCUUCCGCAAGGGACGAAAGUCUGACGGAGCAACGCCGCGUGAGUGAUGACGGCCUUCGGGUUGUAAAGCUCUGUUAAUCGGGACGAAAGGCCUUCUUGCGAAUAGUGAGAAGGAUUGACGGUACCGGAAGAGAAAGCCACGGCUAACUACGUG
rnacentral:rRNA from 1 species